rnacentral:rRNA from 1 species
AGAUUGAACGCUGGCGGCAUGCCUUACACAUGCAAGUCGAACGGCAGCACGGGGGCAACCCUGGUGGCGAGUGGCGAACAGGUGAGUAAUGCAUCGGAACGUGCCCAGUAGUGGGGGAUAACUAGUCGAAAGAUUAGCUAAUACCGCAUACGACCUACGGGUGAAAGCGGGGAUUCGCAAGAACCUCGCGCUAUCGGAGCGGCCGAUGUCUGAUUAGCUAGUUGGCGGGUAAAAGCCCACCAAGGCUUCGAUCAGUAGCUGGUCUGAGAGGACGACCAGCCACACUGGGACUGAGAC